AUUGAACGCUGGCGGCAGGCCUAACACAUGCAAGUCGAACGGUAACAGGAAGAAGCUUGCUUCUUUGCUGACGAGUGGCGGACGGGUGAGUAAUGUCUGGGAAACUGCCUGAUGGAGGGGGAUAACUACUGGAAACGGUAGCUAAUACCGCAUAACGUCGCAAGACCAAAGAGGGGGACCUUCGGGCCUCUUGCCAUCGGAUGUGCCCAGAUGGGAUUAGCUAGUAGGUGGGGUAACGGCUCACCUAGGCGACGAUCCCUAGCUGGUCUGAGAGGAUGACCAGCCACACUGGAACUGAGACACGGUCCAGACUCCUACGGGAGGCAGCAGUGGGGAAUAUUGCACAAUGGGCGCAAGCCUGAUGCAGCCAUGCCGCGUGUAUGAAGAAGGCCUUCGGGUUGUAAAGUACUUUCAGCGGGGAGGAAGGGAGUAAAGUUAAUACCUUUGCUCAUUGACGGUACCCGAAGAAGAAGCACCGGCUAACUCCGUG
rnacentral:rRNA from 1 species